GACGUAGGGGGCGAGCGUUGUCCGGAUUUAUUGGGCGUAAAGAGCUCGUAGGCGGUUUGUUGCGUCGGCUGUGAAAACCCGGGGCUCAACCCCGGGCCUGCAGCCGAUACGGGCAGACUAGAGUUCGGCAGGGGAGACUGGAAUUCCUGGUGUAGCGGUGAAAUGCGCAGAUAUCAGGAGGAACACCGGUGGCGAAGGCGGGUCUCUGGGCCGAUACUGACGCUGAGGAGCGAAAGCGUGGGGAGCGAACAGG
rnacentral:rRNA from 1 species